UAAUAGCACUAUUAUAUAAGAGAACUUCAUCAAAAUCCUUACAAGAUAUCAAGAAUCUAAUUUGGUAGAAAUUUGUGAUAUCCAACUGAAUUGUUUUUUUGUCUUCAAAUGCCUUUGAACAUUUGUCCUAAUAUUCAAAAUUCUUGGCUUCAUGAGAAAUGUGAUCAUCACCUUUUUUUGGUUAAGUAUGAAUACUUUAGUAACAUGUUAAAUUUUUUCAUUUCAUCCCUAAAUUCUAAUUGUUUCU
rnacentral:lncRNA from 1 species